rnacentral:rRNA from 1 species
GUGGGGAAUAUUGCACAAUGGGGGAAACCCUGAUGCAGCGACGCCGCGUGAGUGAAGAAGUAUUUCGGUACGUAAAGCUCUAUCAGCAAGGAAGAAAAUGACGGUACUUGACUAAGAAGCCCCGGCUAACUACGUGCCAGCAGCCGCGGUAAUACGUAGGGGGCAAGCGUUAUCCGGAUUUACUGGGUGUAAAGGGAGCGUAGACGGCAUGGCAAGUCAGAUGUGAAAACCCGGGGCUUAACCCCGGGAUUGCAUUUGAAACUGUCAGGCUGGAGUGCGGGAGAGGUAAGUGGAAUUCCUAGUGUAGCGGUGAAAUGCGUAGAUAUUAGGAGGAACACCAGUGGCGAAGGCGGCUUACUGGACCGUAACUGACGUUGAGGCUCGAAAGCGUGGGGAGCAAACAGGAUUAGAAACCCCUGUAGUCC